GUGGCAAAAACAUACAAAAGGAGUAAAGGGGAUCUUUGCCUGCUCAUAUUUGUGAAAACCAAGAACAGAAUAUAGAAAUGCCCAAAGAGCAUGUUUGAAUACAUCUCUUUGUAAAACAUGACAGAAAGGAGUGAUUAUUUAAAUUGGACAGGACUUUGCAUUCCUGGCUCCUUGGUGGCAGUGCCUUUUGUCUGAACUCUUUUACUAGAAAAAUGUCACAAAGGAUAAAAAAUGAGUCCAAUAAGUUUUAUUCAAUUUCAGAGUCUAUUAUAUAUUCUGUUUUACACAAAGCAUAUAAUUUUAAAUUUCAUAGAUAGGCACACUGAACAUACACUUGGUAGAUAUACAGCUAUUUGUACGAGUGAAAUUGAAACCCUCCAGGGAGGGUACAUUAAUAAUUCCUUACUUGUAAGACAGAACAGCCAUCUCAUAUUCCAAACAAAGCCCGGCCAGCACAGAAGUGAUUCAUGGUCAUUUAUGAAAACUGAUUACCAAUCACCAGAUUGUAAAGCCAUGGCAACAUUUAUUUUUCAAUCUCAUAAACAAUAAAGCUCCUUUUUGUUAAACACAUGAGGGACCUCUUUCCCAUGGAGGAGUUAGUAAAUGCAAAAGCUAAUUUUCCACAUCUGACAGCAUUCAUGAAAGCUGAUGAAUACAUGUAUGAUAAACACAUAUUUCAGUAGAAAGAAAAAUUAAUGUGUAUAUACCUACAUAGCGUUUUCUUUCACUGGGGUGUUGAUCUGAGAGUAGCGGUCAGGGGAACCUGAAUCUUUUAUUUUAGUGCCUCAAAGGCAAACAUUUUCCUAAUUGGACAGUUUAAAAUAUUCAGUUCAUUAAUCCUAGAUAAAAGCCAUAUUCAUAUUUAGCUUAAAUGGUUCUUUUCAACAAGAUAUAUUAAAAUUGUAGUUUCUUUAUUUAAUAAUGAGAAACAAGAGAUCACAAUAAUGUCUGAUUUGUAGCUUAUUCUCGAUACUUGGUAAAGACAUUAGACAAACCAUUUAUGAAUUUUCUGUCAACAAAGUGUCCUAAGGUACCACCAGGAAGAACCAGCAUGGUUUUGUGACCCACAGGUCCUGCUGGGGCUGCUUUUUCCUAUUCCAGUGGUUGAAAGCCAGGCCAAGUGGACACAAAAAGUAGCAAGGUCAUUCUCUGCUUGGCCUUCACUUGUUGUGUCAAUGUCUGUUAUGUGUCCCAGGGAGACAGUAACUUCUCCAAGGUCAGCCUGAAAGCCUGGAAGUCUUCUCCCCCAUCCUGUAGCCAAAAGUGGUGGUGAAGGGAUAUGAAAUCCAACACUGAGUGAAGGGGUAGGAAGAGGGUGGGGGGAUGGAGGAACACAGGCAAAUCAAUUUCCCGUGAUGUGCAUAAUUGGUCUUACACUUGGAAGUGCUUCUGAAAACAUUUUCAUUCAGAGUGAGCUGAAGAAGUUUAAGAAAUAAGCAGUCCUAAAUCAGAUGAUAGGUUGGGCCAUUUUCAAGGGUCAUGUGGCCAGAGCUGAGCAAGUUGAAAUUUUGCUGGCAGAAGUCCAUUGGUAUUUUUGGACCCCUGUAGGAAGAAUAGGUAAAUGUAGAUUUUAGGCAAUGUGGCUUCUCCUGAUGUAACUCUUGAGUUUGACUUUGAAGCACUGGGCCCGGACUUAGUCUUUCCAGAGCCUUAGGACCCCCAUGUCUAGGUAUUCAUUAGAAGAGGCGAAUCCAUGUCCAGUCUUUGGCUCCUGCCUUGUUACAUCUCUUCCUUGUCCUUUGGCCAAGCUCUGCUCCAGGCUUGAGCCUUUUUUAUUUCUAUAACACAGUUUGAUUCACUGUUGUUGAAAAUCUUGAAUGGUGGCAUCAUUAAUAAUACAUUCAUUACCUCAGUCAAAAAUGGCCAGCGUUCUGCCUUCUUAUCUGCUUCCUUGAGCAUUUUAUUGCCAAACCAUGAAAAGAAGUGGAGUUGUGGGGGCAAAAGUAGUUCAAAACUUCCAGUCCAGUUCUGGCCGCAAGAACAAUCUUUAAUUCUUGUUUUGCACCAAAUAUACUAUCCCUUCUGGGUCUGUUCUAAGCUGUGUAAGCAGAUAAUUUCCAGUUUUUCAAUGGCAUUUUUAAUAGUUACCUUCUGGAAUUCAGCUUUCAAGGGAUUUCCUGAUAAGAGCUAUGUAAUCAGGAUGGAAUCUCUUAUUAAAAGGAUUUUCCUUUUCCAAAUCUUGAAAAAAGUCUGUUUCUCUCUUCUCAAAUUAUCAGGCAAUCUAUCAAUAAUUGAAGGUGAGAUUGAAACUAUGACCUUGGCAGGUAGUGCAGAAGAUUUGCUGAAGUUGUUUAAUAGUGUGAGCUAUUUUUUAGAUUACGGAGUGUUUUUAAACUAUAUUAAAAGUAAACUUCUUUUCACACUCUUCAGGGGCCUGGGAACAGGUUCAUUUGUUCAACAAACAUGUCACUUAUUCAACAAUCAGUACUAUGAAAGUAGAGGAAAAGAGUGAAUUGAGGAAGUUUCCAGUUGCCCUUCACACUGACUCUCCUUGGCACGUUGCUGCUGAUGGGUCCAUCCUUGGCCUACUUACCAUGGUGUCGCACAGUUAUGAGGACAGUUCUAAGUCUGUCUCUGGAUAAAUGAUGUACCAGGCCCUAGUGCAUACAGACCUUCACCUGAAUCACAGGGGGUAUGUUAAAAUGGCUGCAAGCCAGAUACACAGUCAGUAUCUAAAUGGAAGGACUGGAAAUCUGUGUUUCCACAAGCUCCCCAGGUGAUUCUCAGGCUAACUAAAGUCUGAGAAUUAAAGCAUCAGAAAUUGUGCCUAGAAGCCUGCCUUUGUAAGUUAAUAGAAUGAUCUUGGAUGAUCUAUUUAACCCCUCAGUACCUCAGUUUCCUCAUCUGUAAAAUGGCAGAUAAUAACAGUGUCUACCUCAUGGGAAUAGUUUUAAGGAUUAUGUAGUUAUUAAUUAAAAGAUGUUAAAUGCUUAGACCAGUGCUUAGAGGUGCUAUGUAACUGUUUUCAAUUAUUAUCACCAUUAGUUCUAGGAUUGCUUAUAGCUGGACACUCAGCCUGUACGGCUUUCCCUAUGAACCUUCAGCUGUGCCCAGUUUCAGGGCUCAGCAGGGUGUCUGAAGGCAAGGUCUCUUGUCUUGUGCUUAAUUGGGAGAGGAUGAGCAGGGGGCAUAUUGUGAAGCAAGGGGGCUCAGAGAGCUCUGGGCAGUAGACGUGGUGAUUGAGGCCAACUUUCGUUUAAGUCUCAAUACUGCCCCCUCGUGGCAGUAUAAACUAAGGCCGGAGCCUAUUUCCGUUACCUGUUAGACGGAAGUGAAAAAAUUAAUGGCUACUCCCUUUCAUCUCUUCAAUUUUGCCUUUUUUUUAACGAAUCGUUAAAAUAGGGACAUUUCCUGUUAACUUGACUUUGGUAUUGUGUUCUCUGACCCAAAAUUGGGAAACCACGCUGAAGGGUGAUUCCACAAUGAGCUGGUCAAUCUUGGCUAUCACCUUCCUCCAAGUUAUAUUGUGGGAGGCUAAGUAAAGAAUUAGGAGAGAAUGGAGAGGCGGAGAGUUCUUUGGAGAUAGAGUGUUAGUGUGCAGAACGUUCCCUCCUGUCCUGUCUUCUGCCCCUUCCUCCUCUCAAAGCUGAGUGGGAAGGGGCUUCACACAAAGAUCAGGAAAGCUUGACGUAUGGCUAGUGAACUUUAGGAGGGAGAGGUACUGGGAUGUGGCUCAACCAGAGAAAAUCCCAGGCCCAUAGCUACAUGAAGACUGGUCUCUGUCCUCAAGUUGCUUACAGUUUGCAGGUGCUACACCAAUGGGUAUCAUUUGUAUCUCACAUAGGCCCUUCGUGGCCUUCCUCCUGAGGCUUCCUGACUUCCCACAGCUGCCCUGCUUUGUUCCCCGACACACCAGGACACAGCAGCCGGCAGGAGCCAGAGACCAAUCAGUAUUUGAUAAAGAUAAAUCUGUGCUCAGAACUGGAACAGAUGUUUAGCCAAUUAGGAAAUGAAACCCUCUGUUGAAGUAGUUCUGCUUCCAUCUGAGGACUUUGGAUUGAGCUGUUAAAAGGACUCAUUUCUUCAAAAAUGCUUUGCAGAAUCUAUCAAAGCAAGGUAAGAGGUUAGGUCAUUUGCUCUAGAUAACUCAGUUACAAUGUGGCUUCAACACAAUUACCAUUCACAGAUGUAUAACAUCACAAAAUCUGAAUGUUCUAGAAUGGAAGGGACCUUAAGGCUGUUUUUCACACCUAGUGCAAAAAUUCCUCUGCAACCUGGUUACUCAGAGUGUGGUACCUGGACAGCCUCAGCGUUAUCUGGGAGCAUUCUAGGAAUGCAGAAUACCAGCCCCCACCCUAGACCUGCUGAUUCAGAUCUCACAUUUUAAUAAGAUGCAAAGGUGAUUCACACACACAUAAAAGUGUGAGAAACACCAUUCUACAAUAUCCCUGAUCAAUGAACAGCGUGUCUUAGUUUAAACACAUGCAGGCAAGGACGUAGUUUGCUCAAUUGCAGGGUGUUCUAUUUGGGGAUACCUAUAAACAUCACAAUGCACAUUUUUAUAAUAAUAAAUCUAGUGAAUAUUUAUUGACCUUGGACCAUGUGACCUCUUCUCAAAGCUCAACAAGUAUAUGUUGCCUCAUUUAAUCCUCACAACAGCUAUUUGAGGUAAAUACUAUUUGUUUUCACUCAAUCCCCACAACAAAUAUAUGAGGGGCUAUUCUCUUCUUUCUCAUUUUAUGAAUGAGAAAGCUGAGGC